ensembl:lincRNA
GCCAGGGAUAGAGCCCAGGACCUCUGGAUGCCCCACACUGGCACCUUUCAUAGCGCGGGUGACUGAUGUAACACUUGCGUUUGCUCUAUAUUCUGACAAGGAAAUUAUUCCUCCCUCACUCAUCUUCCCAGUAUAAAUCCACUAGGAAGUCACUGCAUUCUACAAAAUCACAGGUGACAAACCAGAAACAGAUAUGUUGGACUUAAUCAAAUUAAAAACAUUCAUGCAUUCAAGGAAAAGAUCUAUCGAGUGAAGAAGCAGUCCACGAAAUGUGAGAAAAGACUUGCAGGCUUACAUCGGAUAAAAGAUUAAAGUGCAGAAUAUAUAAAGAACUGUAGAAUUCAAUAAAGAAACCAAAUUUUAAAUAGGCAAAUGACUCAAAUAGACAUUUCUCCAAAAGCUAGACAACCGUCAAUGAUCGUGUGGAGAGAGGCCCAGUGUCACCGAGCACUGAGGACACUGUGACCCGCCACACCCUCCAGGACAGCGGGUACAAAGCCAAGGAUGCGGAUAAGAUGGAACCUGCACCCUCCGGUGGGAGUGUAAUCAUGUGGUCACCAGGGAGGAGAUGGCACAGCAGCUCCCCAAGAAAGUGAAAGUCAAGGCCAGAAGCAGAAAAACACUGGAGAAGGCAUAUGAGUACCCAUUUGGUAAAUCACCUCGUAUUUGGGUCUGUGUUAGCCAGCUUUCCCUUUCCUGGAACCAAAUGUCUGUUGCUCACAAUGAUCUGUUUGCUUUGUGGUUUCAGAUAUCUCAGUCCAUGGCUGGUUUGCUUCCAAGAAGAAGCGCCAUGGCAGAAUGGGAUGGUGGAGCCAAGCCGGGUACUGCAUGGCCUGGCAGCAGGUCCGGGCAGCGCUGUGGAGAGACGUACCCACCUACGGUGCUCCCCAGCCCUUCCUCCACGCAGGCGCCGUCUGCUGACAGCACACCCAGCUGGGAGCACUAAUGAUCCACCCUCCGGGGAAUACAGUGUCCUGUGAUCCCUUCCUCUCCAGGAAUCUCGUCAUCACUCAAGCUGACAAUGAAGAUUAACUGGCGCAUGAGAACACAAGAUUUAUUUUUGCUCUUUUCUCUUAUUCUCCCAGGUUGACAGUUGGGUUUAUUCACUGCCUUCCUCUGGCUUGUCUCAGAAAUCUUCAACAUCCAUCUUGCCCCUUUGAACGGGAAAAGAUCUCUUCAGACGUCCAAAUCCCCCUAGACUUAAAACUUGCUAUGGCUCACUGGAACUCGUUAAUUCUGCACGUGGAAGCCCUAAUGAUACACGAACAGCUUUGCGCACACAAGCUCUGCGUUCUCUGUGCCACACCGACGAGCAGGCUGACCGGCAGAGGCGUCCAAAAGGCGAAGCCCAGUGGCCCAGCCAGGGCAGGAUUCAAGUCCAGUCUUCCGAGUGUUUCGUUUCGGUGGUCUGGGGUUUGUGUUGUAGGGUUCUGGCUGGCUGGGUGGCUGGAUGAGGGGCCGGUAUUGAAAGGCUGCCGCGAUGUGGGGCCGCGUGCCUGAGAUGUUCACAGUUUCACAGCACAAACGCCAUCAGGCUGCCUGCCACGCGCUUGGGGGCAGAGCUGGUGUCAGAGGAUGGCGGAGAUGCUGCCCAGGUGGAGGGCCCUCCCACAAGCAAGCACACCCGUCCCUGGUACUUCCCAUGGGUGGCAUGUGAGGCUGGAGGCAUGGCUGGCUCUCUGGCCUCCACCGUGUGCCCCUGUAGCAUUUCCCUCCGGCUCUCUGGACAGGCCAUGAGGUGAAGAGAAAGAGUCCCACUCAGGGAAGGUCAGAGCCAUGGGGCUGCUGGCCCUGGGGCCGCCCACACUUCCCCCAACCCACGCCCUGCAAGGCUAGGACGGCCUGUUUGCCCCUCACUCGCACUGCAGGUUGCGGUUACUUCCAGAAGACCCAGAGCCCAGCAGUCAGGACGCACAGGAGGCACAGGUUAGAGAGAACCGAGGCGCUGACUCUGGAGCCAGACUGCACCCCGUCCCCAGCGGCGUCACAGUGGGUGUCAGCAGGGCCCCUUCCCCGUUCCCCGGAUAUUUCCUCCCCUGUGGAGGGAGUUUGUGAGCCGUCACGCGGAUGGCACAGAGCCCUUCCGUCCCUGCAGCCGCGCCCUGGCUAGGUGUCUUGGAGUGCCCGUCUGCCCUGACGUGGCCCUGGGCCUGACCUGCAAACAUGGUUCAAACAGAGAUGUGGACAAGGCUUUCUGCUGGGUCAGUUCUCACUUGGGAACCGUUUGGCACCCAUGGGAAAGGACGGCACCUCAAAGGGGAUCCAGUGGCUGGGGCUGCCAUGGUCACUGAUUUCUCAAGGGGGCAAGGGGACGGCUCCAUUUGGACAGAAAGAGCAGGAUAUGCUCGAAGAUUUCCCCUUCUGAUGCGACACAUACAUUGUGCCCAAACUGAUCUUUGUCAGCAAUUUCUCCCAGUGGACUUUGGGCUCCAGAGUUUCGAAUUCUGACACACAGGGUAGGACCUGGGUGUGCAGGAAGAACAUGAAACCUCCAUCUAUCUUAUGUCUGUCAGCUUUGCCACCCUGCUUGGCAGUACAGAUCCACAAUUUCUUCUCCAAACCCUUGUGGCCAUGUGAGUUUCAGAAACAGGGAUGCUCACAGCACACCAAGGGGCACAUAACGGCUCCACUGUGGCCUCCAGGAGGGCUCCACCCUCAUCUGACUUGGUGUUUUUGCAGAAAUGUAUAGGAAUAGUUGUCCUGGCACCAUCAAGUCUCCAAAUCACAUAGGUCAGUGGGACUGAAUAUUCACCACCAGACACAGUGGAAAGUUCGGAGGUGCCUAAGCCGGAGAUGGCCUGCCUUCUGAAUUUGGUAGGUAGGGGCCGACGCUGCCUGGCCCUGUGUGUUCUUUAUGCUCUAGAGACUUCAGGGAAGCAGAUUCCCACUCAGAGCCAUGAAGUCUUGGAAUUUACACAGCCUCCUCAGGGAGAGGCAGCCCGGCCAACAGCAGCCGCGAGAACUUGGUUCUACCUGGGCAGAAGUGAGGAAGAGGGUGGGGGAAUUUAAACUUCACUGGACAUUUGCACCACCUGGACUCUAUUAAAGAGGUCUAGCUGACUCCUGGGUGGAGGGGCUGAGCUGACGAUGCAGAGAGAAGGCCAAAGUGGACAGACACGGGAAGGAUGCGGGGUUUUCAGGGCUGCGGCUCACUGCUCACAGGGACCAGGGGCCUCUUCCACCCCGACAGCCUUCAUCCCUCAGUCCCUGGAGGAGAGGGAUUUCCCAUCUGUCCCUGCAUGGUCCCUGGGGCUAGGUGGGGGGCUUCCUGGAGGACAGUGCUGACACUUAAGAGUUGAGGGGACCUGGAGCACAUAGCACUGAAAAACACAUGAUGACCGUCAGUGCUGCAAAGUGUUCCUUGAGUAGAUGGGGGAACUAACGAAUAAGUCAACUUUACCUUCUCCAAAGAAAGCCACUAGACACAGUGCGGGAUCUAUUAUUAGAUGAAAGUUGAGACUUUCCUGCAUAUUUUCAACUACAGUCUACUAAAGCUAUGUAUUCAACACACAGAAAAGGUGUGCUUUUCUUUGAAUGCCCUGCACCAUGGUGUGUCUUGCCCCUCCUGGGUACGUCUGACUUGAUUUCCCUUGAGAAGUGGCCUGCUACUUUGAUAAUGAUUCUGCCAACAAAUGCCACAAGAUCAGUAGCCCGAUGUCUUCCAUUUUUCCACUAGAAGAACAAACCUUUUUUAUUUACUUCUGUGUCCGAGGUCACGCGGUGGCUGGGGAAGUGGCCACCGUGCAAUCAUACUUAGGGGCGACACUGCCUGGCCCGGCCAUCUGCUGUCCACAGCAGUGUUUCACAGCCGCCUUUGCCUGCCUUGUCCUCAGAGGUUAAUAUUUCCUGGCACACUGGAAAAAUGCUGUAUCUCUGGCACAGGCUUCCUACUCCACUGACAGCCCCUGGGUGGUCAUGAGCCGUGGAUCGGCCGGGAGGGGCAGGUGCUUUCUUCAUGACUGUCCCGGGAAUGGCUUAGCUCACAAUCCUGAGAACCUGCCACUGCCUUUUGGCAGAACCGAGUGAUGCUGGGCUUUGUUCUGCUUCCUGCUUUGGGCCCAUCGUGGGGCUUUCACGCCCCUGGCUUCUUUGAAGAAGGAGGGCAGGUUUCCUGCAGCCUCCUCUGCAAGUGGACAGCUGUGGAAACACUCGACAGUGAAGCAAACAUCUUCUCACUCCACGGACACUGCUGCCCUCUCCAUCCUUGGCCCCUUGCUCUGCCGACAGGACCUGUGACACCGAGGGACUCUUCUCACCUGAGUCCGCCCUGGCAUCCACCAGGGUCACGCUCCCUCCUCAGCCCUGGGGGUCAGGUAACCAUGGAGCGGUUUCUACCCAGGGCUCCGUUAUUUGGGCCCAGCAGCUGACCACAGUGGGAGAGGGCCAGGAGGACGCCGGCCCUUCACAGGGGUGGGGUCAUCUAACUCGCAAGGUGAGUCAUGUGUUGAUUUGCCGCUGGAACAGCUUUUCUGGACACUCAGAAAGCAGGAGCCACACUUGCGUGCCUUACUCUCAAGGAGGACAGCACGCCUCUCCAGGUGCUCCUUUCAUGUUUCAGAAUAAACCGAAGCCAGUGGAAGUAAGUUGCAU